GACGUAGGGCGCGAGCGUUGUCCGGAUUUAUUGGGCUUAAAGAGCUCGUAGGCGGCUUGUCACGUCGGGGGUGAAAGCCCGGGGCUUAACCCCGGGUCUGCAUUCGAUACGGGCUAGCUAGAGUGUGGUAGGGGAGAUCGGAAUUCCUGGUGUAGCGGUGAAAUGCGCAGAUAUCAGGAGGAACACCGGUGGCGAAGGCGGAUCUCUGGGCCAUUACUGACGCUGAGGAGCGAAAGCGUGGGGAGCGAACAGG
rnacentral:rRNA from 1 species